GACGAACGCUGGCGGCGUGCUUAACACAUGCAAGUCGAACGCUGAAGCUCAGCUUUUGUUGGGUGGAUGAGUGGCGAACGGGUGAGUAACACGUGGGUAACCUGCCCCCUUCUUUGGGAUAACGCCCGGAAACGGGUGCUAAUACUGGAUAUUCACUGGUCUUCGCAUGGGGGUUGGUGGAAAGGGUUUUUCUGGUGGGGGAUGGGCUCGCGGCCUAUCAGCUUGUUGGUGGGGUGAUGGCCUACCAAGGCUUUGACGGGUAGCCGGCCUGAGAGGGUGACCGGUCACAUUGGGACGGAGAUACGGCCCAGACUCGGACGGGAUGCAGCAGUGGGGAAUAUUGCACAAUGGGCGCAAGACUGAUGCAGCGACGCCGCGUAAGGGAUGGAGGCCUUAGGGUUGUGAACCUCUGUCGCUCAUGGUCAAGCCGCAACAAUGGUUGUGGUGAGGGUAGUGGGUAAAGAAGCGCCGGCUAACUACGUG
rnacentral:rRNA from 1 species